AACCGGCACAAUAGCACGUUCAAUGCACCAGUUCCCGACAGAUCACUGAAGUUAGGAAACGUUGUGCGUGGUUGAUAUCUGGACAGAUGACCGACUGGGACAACACUUGUUUUGCGUCUA
rnacentral:rRNA from 1 species